rnacentral:rRNA from 1 species
GUGUCAGCCGCCGCGGUAAUACGUAGGGUGCAAGCGUUGUCCGGAAUUAUUGGGCGUAAAGGGCUCGUAGGCGGUCCGUCACGUCGGCUGUGAAAACCCGGGGCUCAACCCCGGGCCUGCAGUCGAUACGGGCGGACUAGAGUUCGGCAGGGGAGACUGGAAUUCCUGGUGUAGCGGUGAAAUGCGCAGAUAUCAGGAGGAACACCGGUGGCGAAGGCGGGUCUCUGGGCCGAUACUGACGCUGAGGAGCGAAAGCGUGGGGAGCGAACAGGAUUAGAUACCCUGGUAGUCC